ACGGAGGUCCCUAGCGUUGUUCGGAAUUACUGGGCUUAAAGCGCGUGUAGGCGGAACGGUGAGUACCUUGUGAAAUCCCCGGUCUCAAGCCGGGAACUGCUCGGGAAACUAUAGUGCUUGAGGGUGGGAGGGGGGACUGGAAGCUUAGGUGUAGCAGUGAAAUGCGUAGAUAUCUAGGGGAACGCCUGUGGCGAAAGCGAGUGACUGGGCAAGUCCUGACGCUGAGGCGCGAAAGCGUGGGGAGCAAACAG
rnacentral:rRNA from 1 species